UCAUGGAUAUUUUGGCCUUGAGAUUGGUGG
rnacentral:piRNA from 1 species